rnacentral:rRNA from 1 species
UACGGGGGGGGCAAGCGUUGUUCGGAAUUACUGGGCGUAAAGGGCUCGUAGGUGGCCAACUAAGUCAGACGUGAAAUCCCUCGGCUUAACCGGGGAACUGCGUCUGAUACUGGAUGGCUAGAGAUUGGGAGAGGGAUGCGGAAUUCCAGGUGUAGCGGUGAAAUGCGUAGAUAUCUGGAGGAACACCGGUGGCGAAGGCGGCAUCCUGGACCAACACUGACGCUGAGUGAGCGAAAGCCAGGGGAGCAAACAGG